CUACUACUCCCUCCGUUCAAAAUUACUUGUCUCGGAAAUGGAUGUAUCUAGAACUAAAACACAUCUAGAUACAUCCAUUUUUGCGACAAGUAAUUCCGAACGGAGGGAGUAUAUG
rnacentral:pre_miRNA from 1 species